rnacentral:rRNA from 1 species
UACGUAGGGUGCGAGCGUUGUCCGGAAUUAUUGGGCGUAAAGAGCUCGUAGGCGGUUUGUCGCGUCGACUGUGAAAAACUGGGGGCUUAACUCUCAGCUUGCAGUCGAUACGGGCAGACUUGAGUUCGGUAGGGGAGACUGGAAUUCCUGGUGUAGCGGUGAAAUGCGUAGAGAUCGGGAGGAAGGCCGGUGGCGAAGGCGACUUCCUGGCCUGUUCUUGACGCUGAGGCGCGAAAGCUAGGGUAGCAAACGGGG